rnacentral:lncRNA from 1 species
GGAACCGCUGGGAGUUGGAAGCUUUCUUCCCACUGAGGGGCAAACCUUCUAGGUAUCUGAAGAUGUUGAAGACCAUUUCCUGGAACAGCAGAGGUAAAUGCCCAGAGGAUGAGAACACAUAGCCAUUAGGAGAGCCUGAAAGUUCAGUGUGACUGAAAGAUGAAGUUCAAGAGAAGGGACAAACUGCAAAACACAAGCUGGAGAGUUUUAGAUCUCAAUGGCGGGAACACCUUCAUGGCCCCUUUAUAGCUGGAUGAUCAUUUCCUGUUCUCUCCACCAUGGCCACCUGGUCCAAGCCACCAUCUUCAUGCACCUGGAUACCUGCCAUAACCUCAGCUGACCUUUCCUGUGUCCAUUCUUGUUCCUUUGGGCCCAGUCUCCUCGCUCAUAGCAGCAGAAUGAGUCUAUUAAAAAGUGAAACAAUUUCUGUCA